rnacentral:tRNA from 1 species
GCCGAUGUGGCGGAACCGGAAUACGCGUACGGCUUAGGACCGUAUCCCGCAAGGGUUGGGGGUUCGAGUCCCUCCAUCGGCA